AGCAGUGGGGAAUAUUGGACAAUGGGCGCAAGCCUGAUCCAGCCAUGCCGCGUGAGUGAUGAAGGCCUUAGGGUUGUAAAGCUCUUUUGUACGGGAAGAUAAUGACGGUACCGUAAGAAUAAGCCCCGGCUAACUUCGUGCCAGCAGCCGCGGUAAUACGAAGGGGGCUAGCGUUGCUCGGAAUCACUGGGCGUAAAGGGUGCGUAGGCGGGUUUUUAAGUCAGAGGUGAAAUCCUGGAGCUCAACUCCAGAACUGCCUUUGAUACUGAAAGUCUAGAGUAUGGGAGAGGUGAGUGGAACUGCGAGUGUAGAGGUGAAAUUCGUAGAUAUUCGCAAGAACACCAGUGGCGAAGGCGGCUCACUGGCCCAUUACUGACGCUGAGG
rnacentral:rRNA from 1 species